rfam:Danio rerio chromosome 17, GRCz11 reference primary assembly.
ACAUCGGCACGUAGCUCUCUGUUACUCUCACAUGGUCGCCCACUGAAGCUAAGCAGGGCUGCGCCCGGUCAGUACCUGGAUGGGAGACCACAUGGGAAAGCUAGGUUGCUGCCGGA